UAGACUUGACAUCUUCUGCAUUACCCUGUAAUGGGGGAAGUUCCUUCGGGAACAGAAUGACAGGUGGUGCAUGGUUGUCGUCAGCUCGUGUCGUGAGAUGUUGGGUUAAGUCCCGCAACGAGCGCAACCCCUAUUGUUAGUUGCUACCAUUAAGUUGAGCACUCUAGCGAGACUGCCCGGGUUAACCGGGAGGAAGGUGGGGAUGACGUCAAAUCAUCAUGCCCCUUAUGUCUAGGGCUACACACGUGCUACAAUGGCAAGUACAGAGAGAUGCGAUACCGCGAGGUGGAGCUAAACUUCAAAACUUGUCUCAGUUCGGAUUGUAGGCUGAAACUCGCCUACAUGAAGCUGGAGUUACUAGUAAUCGCGAAUCAGCAUGUCGCGGUGAAUACGUUCCCGGGCC
rnacentral:rRNA from 1 species